UUUUUUUUUCUUGAACCAAGUAGGCUUGGAAUUUGGAGGUUUUCUGCUGGCCUCUUCCGAAGCCAGCUCCUCUUAAAUCUAUUAGUGGGAUCCGCUCUGCCAGAUCCUCGACGUUGAUAAGAU
rnacentral:rRNA from 1 species